CCACCUCCUUUUACUAAUGCUCCACCAAGAACACCUUUAAAUAAAGCUCCACCUGCACCUCCGCCGCCUUCUUACACUAGUGCUCCAACGGCACCACCCCCACCUCCUCCACCCCCUUUUAGUACAAGUCAGUCUCCAUCGCCUCUUUUUAGUAGAGCUCCACCACCACCACCACCCCUUCCUUCAUCAAGUGGAAGACCACCUCCACCUCCACCUCCUCCAAUGUCUAGAGCCCCUCCACCUCCACCCUUUCCUGGAGCACCUCCACCACCUCCACCACCACCUCCUGGUGGUGGUCGAGGCCCACCCGCUCCCCCUCCUCCUGGCGGUCGAGGCCCACCUCNNNNNNNNNNUCCCCCCCCCCCCCCCCCACCUCCUUUUCCAUAUCCUCCGCCACCCCCACCCCCACCUCCUUUUACUAAUGCUCCACCACCCCCACCCCCACCUCCUUUUACUAAUGCUCCACCAAGAACACCUUUAAAUAAAGCUCCACCUGCACCUCCGCCGCCUUCUUACACUAGUGCUCCAACGGCACCACCCCCACCUCCUCCACCCCCUUUUAGUACAAGUCAGUCUCCAUCGCCUCUUUUUAGUAGAGCUCCACCACCACCACCACCCCUUCCUUCAUCAAGUGGAAGACCACCUCCACCUCCACCUCCUCCAAUGUCUAGAGCCCCUCCACCUCCACCCUUUCCUGGAGCACCUCCACCACCUCCACCACCAC
rnacentral:lncRNA from 1 species